rnacentral:rRNA from 1 species
AUUGAACGCUGGCGGCAUGCUUUACACAUGCAAGUCGAACGGCAGCGCGGGCUUCGGCCUGGCGGCGAGUGGCGAACGGGUGAGUAAUGCAUCGGAACGUGCCCAGUAGUGGGGGAUAGCCCGGCGAAAGCCGGAUUAAUACCGCAUACGACCUGAGGGUGAAAGCGGGGGACCGAAAGGCCUCGCGCUAUUGGAGCGGCCGAUGUCGGAUUAGCUAGUUGGUGGGGUAAAGGCUUACCAAGGCGACGAUCCGUAGCUGGUCUGAGAGGGCGACCAGCCACACUGGGACUGAGACACGGCCCAGACUCCUACGGGAGGCAGCAGUGGGGAAUUUUGGACAAUGGGGGCAACCCUGAUCCAGCCAUGCCGCGUGCGGGAAGAAGGCCUUCGGGUUGUAAACCGCUUUUGUUCGGGAAGAAAUCCUCUGGGCUAAUACCCCGGGGGGAUGACGGUACCGGAAGAAUAAGCUCCGGCUAACUACGUG